rnacentral:rRNA from 1 species
ACAAGCGGUGGAGUAUGUGGUUUAAUUCGAUGCAACGCGAAGAACCUUACCUGGUCUUGACAUCCCGGAGACCCUUAGGAAACUAGGGGGUGCUUCCAUCUGGAAGAAUCUGGAGACAGGUGCUGCAUGGCUGUCGUCAGCUCGUGUCGUGAGAUGUUGGGUUAAGUCCCGCAACGAGCGCAACCCUUGCCUUAGUUGCCAGCAGUUCGGCUGGGCACUCUAAAGGGACUGCCGGUGUUAAACCGGAGGAAGGUGGGGAUGACGUCAAGUCCUCAUGGCCUUUAUGACCAGGGCUACACACGUACUACAAUGGCCGAUACAAAGGGCAGCGACACUGCGAGGUGAAGCCAAUCCCGUAAAAUCGGUCUCAGUCCGGAUUGGAGUCUGCAACUCGACUCCAUGAAGUUGGAAUCGCUAGUAAUCGCAGAUCAGCCAAGCUGCGGUGAAUACGUUCCCGGGCCUU